rnacentral:rRNA from 1 species
GUGGGGAAUCUUCCGCAAUGGACGAAAGUCUGACGGAUCAACGCCGCGUGAGUGAUGAAGGUCUUCGGAUUGUAAAGCUCUGUUAAUCGGGACGAAAGAGCCUAGUGUGAAUAAUGCUAGGAAGUGACGGUACCGCAAUAGAAAGCCACGGCUAACUACGUGCCAGCAGCCGCGGUAAUACGUAGGUGGCAAGCGUUGUCCGGAAUUAUUGGGCGUAAAGGGCGCGCAGGCGGAUCUGCCAGUCUGUCUUAAAAGUUCGGGGCUUAACCCCGUGAUGGGAUGGAAACUACAGGUCUAGGGUAUCGGAGAGGAAAGUGGUAUUCCUAGUGUAGCGGUGAAAUGCGUAGAUAUUAGGAAGAAAACCAGUGGCGAAGGCGACUUUCUGGACGAAAACUGACGCUGAGGCGCGAAAGACAGGGGAGCGAACGGGAUUAGAUACCCUUGUAGUCC